UACGGAGGAGGCAAGCGUUAUCCGGAAUUAUUGGGCGUAAAGCGUCCGCAGGUGGCACCUCAAGUCUGCUGUCAAAGACCGGGGCUUAACCCCAGAAAGGCAGUGGAAACUGAAGUGCUAGAGUGCAGUAGGGGUAGAGGGAAUUCCCGGUGUAGCGGUGAAAUGCGUAGAGAUCGGGAAGAACAUCGGUGGCGAAAGCAGCUUUCUGGGACGGUACUGACGCUGAGACGCGAAAGCGUGGGGAGCGAACAGG
rnacentral:rRNA from 1 species